rnacentral:pre_miRNA from 1 species
GGAAUACUCCCUCCGUCCGAAAAUACUUGUCAUCAAAAUGGAUAAAAGGAGAUGUAUCUAGAACUAAAAUACAUCUAGAUACAUCCUCUUUUAUCCAUUUUGAUGACAAGUAUUUCCGGACGGAGGGAGUAUAAU